rnacentral:misc_RNA from 1 species
UGGAUUUUUUUUUUUUUCGUUUUGAUAUUAAAUAAGAGAAAUGGCAUAGUUGUUAAUAUUUGCAACCUUCAUCUUCCACAUUACCGAAAAAUAAUAAAUAUUUGACUAAUAAGUAGUAACUAUUACUUUAAUGGAUUUUUCUGUAUACAAUUGAAACACCUGGAUGCAUUCAAAAUGUCUAAAACUAUUGGGACCAACAGUAAACAUUAUUACCUUUUGAGACAGUUUGUUAGGCAUUCAAAUCAGGCUAGAAUUUUGGUCCUUGGCAUCGAUGAGCUAACGCCAAUUCGAACGUACAUUUUGGAUGCCUAUAAGCUGUUGAUUACAGAUCAGAAAACGAUUCAUUGAAACUCUAUUUCAAUAUUGGCCAAUUAUUUUAGAUUGUCCAUUGAGCAUCUUCUCUGUUUGAUCUCUGAUAGAAGCAUGAUUGGCGUCAAAUUGAAGCUUAUGGAAUGUAGACCAAGAUUAUCAACCCAAUCAUCAAUUUCGAUCACCAAUCGGCUGAAAAAUGCCCCAAAAACUUUGAAAAACUCAUUUUCUUUUUCUUUGUUAGCACUAAAAACUAUCACCAAAUUUGGCAUUGUCAGUCUCAUCUGAUAGCUCUCUUCACCAAGGGUUUAUAGCCACUAGAAUCACUCUAGUCAAAUAUCAGGAUCGCGGAAUAUAAAUCUCUAAAGUUUUGAACUUAUUUUCUCCCUCCUCGCACUAUCCAUCGGAAAAUGGCUCAUUUCUCUCUAAAUUUUUUGCUGGUCAACAAUGACAGGGUGAGUUGAGGUGGUCGGGCUGAUGGCGAUGGCCGGAGAAUGGUUGGUUGGCUGGAACAAGAAGGAAAGAAAGAAAGAAAUAAAGAAAGAAAG